UUCAAUGAUAUUAAAUACAUUUUGUUACAAAGGAUAUUUCUUCAACAAACUAAUAUCUUUGUUGCAUAUUAAUGGGUUAAAGACUAAAUGAUCGAGAGAGAGAGAGAGAGAGAGAGAGAGAGAGAGAGAGAGAGAGAGAGAGAGAGAGAAAGAAAGAGAGACGUGUUCGUGCAUUAACGAAUUCAAGAUAAUUUAUGCGAAUGCUUUAUUAAAUGAUCGUCUCAAUAAUUUUUCUUUUGUUAUUUAUCAUGUUAAGAAAUAUAAUUGAAAUAAAUCAUUUUAUGAAUCAUUUUAUGUUACGUAUACGUGUGUAUACGUGGAUAACAAUAAAAUGUUUGAUUUAACGAUCACGAAAUUAUCGUCGCGAAUUAUCCAAGGUCAGAGUAUUCUGGUAUCUUUACAAAAAAAAAAAAAAAAAAAAAAAAAAAGAAAGAAUGAAAGAAGAAACAAUAGAAAAAGAAAAAAAUGUUGCCAACUUGAACUCGCCAUUCGGCCAGCACCGUGAUUUUCUUUCCAACAAGUCUCUCUCUCUCUCUCUCCUCGAGGGGAAGCCUUUACUAUCCUCACAUUAACAUGUCGCAGUUUUUGUCGUUAUUGAGAUUCCAAGAAUAAAGACAGUCUCUCUCCACCAGUUGGUGAAACAGGAUAAUUAGUUCAGACCAUAAAUGUCAAUCUCUCAGUUUAUACAAACUCCCCUACUUUCGUUCUCGUGUUCCCGAUCGAACAACGUACACGAUUCAACUCGAUUCAUUUCGAUCGAUCAUCGGAAAGGUAUUCUAUCGUUAUCAGGAGCGCUUAAUAACGGCUAUAAAGCAUUACGAAAGCGUGGAAAUAUCCAGACUCGUUGGGAAUAUCUUCGUAGAGAAAGAGAUAGAUAUAUAAUACUACGUAGGUAUGUAUAACCCUCUACGUGUAAGAGUGUACAUGCGAGUUAGAAUGAGUGAGUGAGUGAGAGAGAGAGAGAGAGAGAGAGAGAGAGAGAGAGAGAGAGAGAGCGAAAAGCGUCGGUUCAACCCCGUCAAACAUUCGAGAGGCCAACCUGCUUUUUCUCUCGUUCCACGCCAUUGGCUGCGUGCGAAGUGAUUAAAAACAUGGGAAUGGCUGGCUCUCGCAGUCCGACCAACCCUCUUUUCAUUCUCUCUCUCUCUCUCUCUCUUUAUUUUUCUCUUUUUCGCUAGCAACUCUCUUUCUUUAUUUCUCAUCUCUGUCUUUCUCUUUUCGUCCACCUAGCAGUAGAUGUACGUGGCUCGCGUUUCCUACAGGACUCUCGAAGCUCUGUUUUCGGCUGGGUCUGGUCGGCCACCGCAAAUGCCCCAGGGAUUUGCUCUGCUCCCAGAGUAUUUUAUCCCUCUGAGGGAUGAUGGAGGAGGGAAAGAGGGAAUGUGAGAGAGAAAGAGAGACAGAGAGAGAUAGAUAGAGUGAAACAGGGUGGGGUUACCUGCAUAUUCGCAUUUUCCACGAUGCUUCUAGAGGAUUUUCUCCACCCUCGAGUCUCUCAAAAUAAACCACCCUCUCGCGAGAAAGGGGAGGGAAAACACAUUUCUGAGGGGUUCGACCGGUACGACGAUUAGCGCUGUUUCUAAUGGAGGCAGGGGGAGAGAGAGAAAAAAAAAGAACAAAAGAAGAAAAAAUAAGAAGAAAAAAAAAAAAGGGAAAAGAAGUAUAAAGGGAAUUUCGUAUAAAUCCUUUAUAAGAAUUCGUCUUCUUUUUAUUUUUCCUUUCUCUUUUUAUUUCCACGUCAUAAUAAUCACAAUAAUAAUAAUAAUAAUAAUAAUAAUAAUAAUAAUAAUAAUAAUAAUAAUAAUAAUAAUAAUAGAUAAAUGAAAGAAAAGAAAAAUAAGGAAGAAAAAAGUAAAAUAAGAGAUGUAUAUUCGUCUGGUGAAACAUUGAUACAUUCAUCGUAAUCUUUUUGAAUUGGGUUAGGGAAAGUUGUUUUCUAAGUCCCACGUGUUAAAUUAGAAAAUUUUCGAAAAAGGGACUCGCGGCUCGUCUACGAACUUUUAAUGCGUUUCCUUUCCCCGAAGGAUUCUCAAGCUGUCCAACGAAGAAGAAGAAGAAGAAGAAGAAGAAGAAAAAAAGAAGAAAAAGAAAAAGGCAAAAUAAAACGAGGGAUAAGAAAAGGAAGAAAAGAGGUUCUUCGCUUCCAACCAGAGGAACUUUCCUUCUCGGAUAUACGCGUAAACUGUAGGGUGUAAACCACGAAAAGAAAACUGUUCGAGAGAGAGAGAGAGAGAGAGAGAGAGAGAGAGAGAGAGAGA